UAUUUUAAAGAGAGUUUGAUCCUGGCUCAGGACGAACGCUGGCGGCGUGCCUAAUACAUGCAAGUCGAACGAACGGAGGAAGAGCUUGCUCUUCCAAAGUUAGUGGCGGACGGGUGAGUAACACGUGGGCAACCUGCCUGUAAGUUGGGGAUAACUCCGGGAAACCGGGGCUAAUACCGAAUGAUA
rnacentral:rRNA from 1 species